GAAGGAAGUGCUUGCACUUCUGGAUGAGUUGCGAACGGGUGAGUAACGCGUAGGUAACCUGCCUGGUAGCGGGGGAUAACUAUUGGAAACGAUAGCUAAUACCGCAUAACAAUGGAUAUUGCAUGAUAUCUAUUUGAAAGGUGCAAUUGCAUCACUACCAGAUGGACCUGCGUUGUAUUAGCUAGUAGGUGAGGUAAAGGCUCACCUAGGCGACGAUACAUAGCCGACCUGAGAGGGUGAACGGCCACACUGGGACUGAGACACGGCCCAGACUCCUACGGGAGGCAGCAGUAGGGAAUCUUCGGCAAUGGGGGCAACCCUGACCGAGCAACGCCGCGUGAGUGAAGAAGGUUUUCGGAUCGUAAAGCUCUGUUGUAAGAGAAGAACGAGUAUGAGAGUGGAGAGCUCAUACUGUGACGGUAACUUACCAGAAAGGGACGGCUAACUACGUGCCAGCAGCCGCGGUAAUACGUAGGUCCCGAGCGUUAUCCGGAUUUAUUGGGCGUAAAGCGAGCGCAGGCGGUUAGAUAAGUCUGAAAUUAAAGGCUGUGGCUUAACCAUAGUAUGCUUUGGAAACUGUUUGACUUGAGUACAGAAGGGGAGAGUGGAAUUCCAUGUGUAGCGGUGGAAUGCGUAGAUAUAUGGAGGAACACCGGUGGCGAAAGCGGCUCUCUGGUCUGUAAC
rnacentral:rRNA from 1 species